rnacentral:rRNA from 1 species
UUAAAAAGCUCGUAGUUGAAUUUCGGGAUCAGUACGUUGGUCGUGCCUUAGGUACGUACUGGUGUUACUGGUUUCUACCUUCUGACGAACCAUCAUGUCAUUAAUUGGGUGUGGCGGGGAAUCAGGACUGUUACUUUGAAAAAAUUAGAGUGUUUAAAGCAGGCUCGCGCUUGAAUACAUUAGCAUGGAAUAAUGAAAUAGGACGUUGAUCCUAUUUUGUUGGUUUCUAGGAUUGACGUAAUGAUUAAUAGGGAUAGUUGGGGG